rnacentral:lncRNA from 1 species
GCACCCCCCUUUUCCCUCCCCAGACCCUGACCCCGAACCUGCCCCAUCGCUGCCCCCCCUGGAAGCAGAGCAGCCCCCAACACAGAACGCUGAGGACGAGGCCGUGGCCCGCGAGCUGGAGCAGCUUUACCUCUCCCACCUCCGCCGCCUCCGGGGGGGGCCAGGGGACAACACAGCCCCCCCCCCAACCUGCAGGGCCCCCCCCUUACCCGAGCGAGGCCCCAACACCUCUCUCGCAGCCGAAAUGGCGCUCCAUCACGAGGGGGCGGGGGGGGGGAGGACGUCGAAGCCCCCCGGAGUUACGAGGGAUGGGGGGGCCGGUGGUGGGAGCUUUGGUGGUACCCGCGCGGCCCCCCCCCGGGCGGGGGGGGGGGGACACUUUGGGGGGGGCUUUGAGGCGUUGUGGGGUUGUGUUGGCUUUGGCCGUGUUUGGUGCCGGUGGCUUGUGGGGAUGGGGGGGGGCCCACGGCCGCGUUGGCUUUGGGGAUCUACCUGGCCUUGACCUGGUUGACGUGACUGGGGGGGGGGGGGCAUAAUGGGGGGGGCCCCCCAAAUUGAUGCAAGGUCACCCCCCCCCCCACCCCAGGUAUGGGGACACACCCAAAUGGGUCGAGGAGGGGGGAGGAUGUGAGGUGUGGACCCCCCCACCCCACCCCAGAAUGCACACAGAGCAUGGGCAUGGCAUGGGGGUGCCCCAAAUUUAUCGUGACCCCCCCCCCCCCUCCCCCCAACCCCACCCCGCAUGUUGUGGCUGGGAUGGCCGAGGACACCCCAAAAUGAGGAUGGUAUCACUCAUAAUUUGGGGAGGGGGGGGUGCAUGGGUAACCCCAAAUCUCUCAUGAUGGGGGGGCGGGGGGGGGGCAUGGGAGACCCCAAAUCAUUCAUAGUAGGGGGGCGUGGGUCAGCCCAAAUCCCUCAUCAUGUGGUGGGGGGGGGGGGGGUGCAUGGGAGACCCCAAGCCAUUCAUAAUAUGGGGGGGGGGGCAUGGAAAACCCCAAAGCAUUCAUUAAGGGGGGAGGGGGAGGCAUGGGAGACCCCAAAUCAUUAAGGGGAAGGUCAUGGGACACCCCAAGUCAUAGCAGGGGGGGCACGGUCACCCCAAAUCUCUCAUAACUGGGGGGGGGAGGGGGGUGGUGGGAGAGACCCCAAAUCGUUCACAAGGCGUGGGGGGGGGGGGGAGCUCUGCCAUUUUGGGGUCCCCCCCCCCCACCCUCCCCCUCUUCUUGCUGCUAUUUUGUGUACCUGGUGUAGAUACAGCCGUGGAAAUGCGCUGUUCCCUCAUUCCUUAUGGGGUUUUUUUGGGGGGGGGAGGGGAGGGGG